rnacentral:lncRNA from 1 species
CGGCAGCCAAAACGAGGCCGGGCCCUUGGGCGCGCGUUGGAGUUUGCGCGGCGCCGGGCCGGUUUCGCGGUGGCACCGAGGCAGAGCGCUGCUUCGGGGCGAGAGGGCAUCUAGGGCUGAGGCGCCCGAGGACCGGGCUGGCUCACCGUCGAAAUGGAGCCGUGUUGCUUCCGGACCCGGGAGGCACGGAGGAGGUAUAGGGGACUUCUCUCUCUACCCCUUGGACAGGCAGCCGUGUUCUCUGAUGACUUUUCACCUCUUUGUCGUCUGCAUUUUUAAUUCAGAAGAAAGCGUACGUAAUAAACCUUCCGUGGAGAAGGAAUAGAUGAUAGAAGACCAAGACACACAAUCAUCUGUUACUAUCGUCCCCAUUUUGCUGAUGUGGAAACUGAGCCUUGAAGGGACCAAGAACGUAAAGAAAUGUACCCAAGUUGAAAUUGUAAUAAAGAGUCUGAACUGGGGAAAAGGCAAAAAGUUCUCCAAGCUCUCAAAACAAAGCCAUAUUGAAUCUUAACUAAGCGUUUGAGUGCUGGCUAGUCCACGAAAAACAAAGGGCACUAAUUCAUAUAUAAAAAUAUUUACAGAAAAGAUACUAUGAUCAAGUAACUUGUCAGCACUGGAAAUAAAGAGAUAAACAAAAGAGACAAGUCCCUGUUACUAAAUUAAUACAUUCUGGGGGUAGCAACAAGUAGACAUGGUCACUAUCUUCAAGAAAUUAUCAACCCCAAAAGAGUCUUUAGAAAUACAGUGUGAGAACAAUUAAAGGGUGACAGGAAUAAAGAUCUUGAUUAAUAGUAACACAACAACAUAUCAGGAACUGUCAUAAGUCUUCUUUAUGUCUUAUUUCUUCUUAUCAAAGAGUGUCUCAAAGAACAGGAAGAAAAGAAAAUGUUUGUUUACAAAGGAGUGAGAUUUCAGAAGUGCUGGAGUCUUGGUGCUGUAGGGUAAAAUAGCGUCACCAAAUAAAUGAAAGCAAGGUUUAAAGAUUAUACACUCAAAGUCUAUGGGGAGGAAAAGAGUACAGAAGUUGACUUUAUGUGCAUUGAAAGGAAAUCUAAGCACAGAAAAGUUGGAAUGGGAGCUAGGGACAAAGACAAAAACUGAAGAAAGAAGAAUUCUUGGUUGGUGAGUUCCAUUACCAUUUCAGGGGUCUGUGACUAUGGAUGCAUUACUUUUCUAGACCUUACUAUCCUCCUUCCUGAAAUGCUGAUAAGAGGGAUGCCUGCAAAGAGUUGUUAAGAUUAAAUAACACAAGAAAGCAGCUAG